UACGGAGGGUGCAAGCAUUAAUCGGAUUUACUGGGCGUAAAGGGCGCGUAGGCGGGUAGGCAAGUUAGAUGUGAAAUUCCGGGGCUUAACUCCGGAGCGGCAUCUAAAACUACUUAUCUUGAGGAUGGACGGAGAAAACGGAAUUCCACAUGUAGCGGUGAAAUGCGUAGAUAUGUGGAAGAACACCGGUGGCGAAGGCGGUUUUCUAGUUUAUUCCUGACGCUGAGGCGCGAAAGCAAGAGGAGCAAACAGG
rnacentral:rRNA from 1 species